AGAACGGUAAGAAACUGGUAAACACGUUAUUUAUAUUGUUCAUCUAUUUGAAUCUUGUAAAGAAGGAGUUUACAUUGUGAUUUUAUUAUUUUCGUAUUGUUUGUACAUGUUAUUUCUAAGACCUACGAACUGUGAACGUGUGUCGAGCUAGAGAGCGUGAUAGCCGAUGGCGAAAACCAUUUGAUUAGCGUCCUUGGAGAGCGGAAUGAGUUUUCACGGUGUUCAUGGUGCAUGGUGCACGUUGAGAGGAAUAAUAAAUCGACACCCGUUUGAAACUCUCUGCGUCUUGAUCAAUAAAUCCAAGGGGCCGCUACAGUCGGUAUGUCCACCGUGCACCAGGAAAACACAUUUGGCAACCAAAUCCAGCCCCUGCUUGCAAUCAUGUUAGCUAAACUGAAGGUUUAUCAAUGCCAUUUGGAAUGGUUUUCGGUACAGUUUGCAUUGUCAUCAGUUGAACUAUCAGUCUGUUUCUCUAUAAAUCCAAAGUUAGAUGUUGCUUACCAAGAGAAAUUUUGGGAGGUCAGCAUCAAACCGCAUCUCUUUACUUGUUAGGAGCUAUCUCCAGCUGCAGAAAGCCACGGUAAUAUUUUCUCGUUUAGCUCCUUUUUAAAUCAGUUCUUUUCUUUGCCAUCUUUGUGUUUCUCUAAGACUAACCGCAGCUGUAAGUUACCUUCAACUUAUUACUUUACUCCAAAGCGCUCAACAUGACAAACCCUAGC